CUCCAUUGUAUCAGGGGGUGAUAAAAAAAAAAAAAAGAUGUUCCAGAUGUUCCUAUCUCAGGAUGUCUGAGAGGAAGAGAGAUGAUGACAGCAUGCUUUCUUUUCAGCCUAUGGAUAGCCCUCACAUUAAGGGAAAAAGGAUCAUGCCUCCUACCAGAACCUCCUACCCAGAACCACCUGUUGAAGAAUAUGCUUGAAAUCCAUCAGUUGAGCAUUUACUGGACUCCAAAGGUGUAUAGUCAUAAGAAAAGAACUGCUGUAAAAAGAAUAGAAUCUGUCAGAGUUUAAUAUAUAAAGUCCCUCAAGCUCUGCAAUGGACAAAGCAGGAUCUAUGUCUAGCCCAUGAAGCCUAAUUUACCCACUAACCCUCCUGUUGGAUACCUGGUGAUUUUAUUUUUCGUCAGCGUUAUGGCUCUGUUGCUUCCACUGAAAGACACACGUCUAAUUCAAACAUUUGAAGAGGCCCCGAAAACAUAUAUUUAAAUAUGUUUAUCACACAUUACAAAGAACUUUUGAGGUAGUCAGAAAAGGUUUCAAGUGAAAGAAAAAAGCCUUUAUUUUUUUUCUGUUUGUAGCAAUGUUCAAUGGCAUUGUUUUGAUAGACAUAGAAUAGUGUGAUAAAGGCUGUUAGCUGACUAGCUGGGAUCUAUCAAUUUGAAUUUAUAUGUGGAAUAAUUAACUUGAUACUAAGCUAGAGCAAUCCUCCAAAUUCCAACAUAAACUUGUAACAUCAAGCCUGGUAUGGGGGCACUCAAUCAAACUCAUAGCAAAUAGGUUUCUGAGUGUGGCUUUGCCUUUAAUGCAGAGGAUGGACUGAUUAUUUUCCCAAACAAUAAACAUUUUUGGUUUAUAAAACUGAUUACUCUG
rnacentral:lncRNA from 12 species